rnacentral:rRNA from 1 species
UGCAGUCGAACGGUAGCACAGAGAGCUUGCUCUCGGGUGACGAGUGGCGGACGGGUGAGUAAUGUCUGGGAAACUGCCUGAUGGAGGGGGAUAACUACUGGAAACGGUAGCUAAUACCGCAUAACGUCGCAAGACCAAAGAGGGGGACCUUCGGGCCUCUUGCCAUCAGAUGUGCCCAGAUGGGAUUAGCUAGUAGGUGGGGUAACGGCUCACCUAGGCGACGAUCCCUAGCUGGUCUGAGAGGAUGACCAGCCACACUGGAACUGAGACACGGUCCAGACUCCUACGGGAGGCAGCAGUGGGGAAUAUUGCACAAUGGGCGCAAGCCUGAUGCAGCCAUGCCGCGUGUAUGAAGAAGGCCUUCGGGUUGUAAAGUACUUUCAGCGGGGAGGAAGGUGUUGUGGUUAAUAACCACAGCAAUUGACGUUACCCGCAGAAGAAGCACCGGCUAACUCCGUGCCAGCAGCCGCGGUAAUACGGAGGGUGCAAGCGUUAAUCGGAAUUACUGGGCGUAAAGCGCACGCAGGCGGUCUGUCAAGUCGGAUGUGAAAUCCCCGGGCUCAACCUGGGAACUGCAUUCGAAACUGGCAGGCUAGAGUCUUGUAGAGGGGGGUAGAAUUCCAGGUGUAGCGGUGAAAUGCGUAGAGAUCUGGAGGAAUACCGGUGGCGAAAGCGGCCCCCUGGACAAAGACUGACGCUCACGUGCGAAAGCGUGGGGAGCAAACAGGAUUAGAUACCCUG